GCCCGGGUGGUGAAAUUGGUAGACACAACGGACUUAAAAUCCGUCGAACCCUCAUCGGUUCGUACCGGUUCGAUUCCGGUUCCGGGCACCA
rnacentral:tRNA from 1 species